CACUCAACAGUUUCCCGUAUGUAUCAAGAAUGGUCCGACACCCAAUGAACAUCCAGCCAACUUGACACAACUGUGGCAAUGGAGUCGACUUUGGAGUUCAUGACCUGACGAAUUAAGGCUGUUCUGAGGGCAAAAGGGGGCAGGGGGGGGUGACCUCAGGUUCCUAAUGUUUGGUAUAGUCAUUAUACACAGUAGAGCAGUGUUGAGAGAGAACACACUAACAGACACACACACCGUACAUGCAUUGGAUCACAUAUCUCGCGUACACACACACACACACACUCGACUAGCAACACUUCUCUGUACCACCAAGCAGUUCCAGAGACCCUUUCCUGCUUCACGCUUCAACUUAGGCAUUAUCUUCCUCAUCCUCCUAAGGAUGAAGAGUAUUUACCUGCAUGCUAUGCCAGGCUACAUCUAUCUACUAAUACAUGUCAUUACUGUACUCCUCUCUGGGUUGAAGGUAGGGUGAUACUGUCAUUACUGUACUCCUCUCUGGGUUGAAGGUAGGAUGAGACUGUCAUUACUGUACUCCUCUCUGGGUUGAAGGUAGGAUGAGACUGUCAUUACUGUACCUCCUCUCUGGGUGGAAGGUAGAGACUGUCAUUACUGUACUCCUCUCUGGGUUGAAGGUAGGGUGAGACUAAGGAGUUAUAGUUAUUUUGCUGUAGUCUUCAGUACUGAAGUCACUCAGUUGUUCUAUUAGCUGUAGUGAGAUCUGUAAACGUGUCCGUUUGUCUGAGGUAAGAUACAUGACCUAAAAACACUAUCGAUCAAUCGUACAUUUUCAUAAAAUGUAAAGUGUGUAUGUAUAUAUAUUCAUUGGAUGGUUUGUACUGAAGAUCUGACCAACAGUGGCUGGUUGCUGUGCAUUGUGGUUCACUGUCACUCAUUUUAAUUUGUUGUCUCUGUGUGAAGUCUGGAAGGAAUUCCUCGGGUUUGUUAGACAGAGUCUUACAACACGGUUAACCUGUACUGGCUAAUAAAAUAAUGUC